CGAAAGUGGUUCGGGGCCUUGUAACACCGACUGAGGCCUAAGCUUGCAAGACCGGGAUGGUCCGGGAAACCUGAACUAAUACCGGAUAGUUCCUUGAACCGCAUGGUUCAAGGAUGAAAGACGGUUUCGGCUGUCACUUACAGAUGGACCCGCGGCGCAUUAGCUAGUUGGUGAGGUAACGGCUCACCAAGGCGACGAUGCGUAGCCGACCUGAGAGGGUGAUCGGCCACACUGGGACUGAGACACGGCCCAGACUCCUACGGGAGGCAGCAGUAGGGAAUCUUCCGCAAUGGACGAAAGUCUGACGGAGCAACGCCGCGUGAGUGAUGAAGGUUUUCGGAUCGUAAAGCUCUGUUGUUAGGGAAGAACAAGUGCAAGAGUAACUGCUUGCACCUUGACGGUACCUAACCAGAAAGCCACGGCUAACUACGUGCCAGCAGCCGCGGUAAUACGUAGGUGGCAAGCGUUGUCCGGAAUUAUUGGGCGUAAAGGGCUCGCAGGCGGUUUCUUAAGUCUGAUGUGAAAGCCCCCGGCUCAACCGGGGAGGGUCAUUGGAAACUGGGAAACUUGAGUGCAGAAGAGGAGAGUGGAAUUCCACGUGUAGCGGUGAAAUGCGUAGAGAUGUGGAGGAACACCAGUGGCGAAGGCGACUCUCUGGUCUGUAACUGACGCUGAGGAGCGAAAGCGUGGGGAGCGAACAGGAUUAGAUACCCUGGUAGUCCACGCCGUAAACGAUGAGUGCUAAGUGUUAGGGGGUUUCCGCCCCUUAGUGCUGCAGCUAACGCAUUAAGCACUCCGCCUGGGGAGUACGGUCGCAAGACUGAAACUCAAAGGAAUUGACGGGGGCCCGCACAAGCGGUGGAGCAUGUGGUUUAAUUCGAAGCAACGCGAAGAACCUUACCAGGUCUUGACAUCCUCUGACAACCCUAGAGAUAGGGCUUUCCCUUCGGGGACAGAGUGACAGGUGGUGCAUGGUUGUCGUCAGCUCGUGUCGUGAGAUGUUGGGUUAAGUCCCGCAACGAGCGCAACCCUUGAUCUUAGUUGCCAGCAUUCAGUUGGGCACUCUAAGGUGACUGCCGGUGACAAACCGGAGGAAGGUGGGGAUGACGUCAAAUCAUCAUGCCCCUUAUGACCUGGGCUACACACGUGCUACAAUGGACAGAACAAAGGGCUGCGAGACCGCAAGGUUUAGCCAAUCCCACAAAUCUGUUCUCAGUUCCCAUGGGCUGUGUACACACCGAAUCAGGCCUAACACAUGCAAAGUCCACUGAGGGAGUGUU
rnacentral:rRNA from 1 species